UGAGGAAUAUUGGUCAAUGGGUGCAAGCCUGAACCAGCCAUCCCGCGUGAAGGACGACUGCCCUAUGGGUUGUAAACUUCUUUUGUAUAGGGAUAAACCUACCCUCGUGAGGGUAGCUGAAGGUACUAUACGAAUAAGCACCGGCUAACUCCGUGCCAGCAGCCGCGGUAAUACGGAGGGUGCAAGCGUUAUCCGGAUUUAUUGGGUUUAAAGGGUCCGUAGGCGGACUUAUAAGUCAGUGGCGAAAGCCUGUCGCUUAACGAUAGAACUGCCAUUGAUACUGUAAGUCUUGAGUAUAUUUGAGGUAGCUGGAAUAAGUAGUGUAGCGGUGAAAUGCAUAGAUAUUACUUAGAACACCAAUUGCGAAGGCAGGUUACCAAGAUAUAACUGACGCUGAGGGACGAAAGCGUGGGGAGCGAACAGGGUUAGAUACUCUGGUAGUCCACGCCGUAAACGAUGCUAACUCGUUUUUGGGGCUUCGGCUUCAGAGACCAAGCGAAAGUGAUAAGUUAGCCACC
rnacentral:rRNA from 1 species